rnacentral:rRNA from 1 species
CCUACGGGAGGCAGCAGUGGGGAAUAUUGGGCAAUGGGCGAAAGCCUGACCCAGCGAUGCCGCGUGAGGGAUGAAGGCCUUCGGGUUGUAAACCUCUGUCAGGAGGGACGAUGGGACUUUUGUCUUGACGGUACCUCCAGAGGAAGCCUCGGCUAACUCCGUGCCAGCAGCCGCGGUAAUACGGAGGGGGCAAGCGUUGCUCGGAAUUACUGGGCGUAAAGGGUCCGCAGGCUGUCAGGCAAGUUGGUUGUGAAAGCUCAAGGCUCAACCUUGGAAUUGCAUCCAAAACUGCCUGACUAGAGUCCAAGAGAGGUUGGCGGAAUUCCCGGUGUAGCGGUGAAAUGCAUAGAUAUCGGGAGGAACACCAGAGGCGAAGGCGGCCAACUGGCUUGGUACUGACGCUCAGGGACGAAAGCGUAGGUAGCAAACCGGAUUAGAUACCCGGGUAGUCCACGCCCUAAACGAUGGAUGCUAGGUAGGGGGAAUUUAUUUCUCCCUGCCGUAGUUAACGCAUUAAGCAUCCCGCCUGGGGAGUACGGUCGCAAGGCUGAAACUCAAAUGAAUUGACGG